rnacentral:rRNA from 1 species
AUUGAACGCUGGCGGCAUGCCUUACACAUGCAAGUCGAACGGCAGCAUGAUCUAGCUUGCUAGAUUGAUGGCGAGUGGCGAACGGGUGAGUAAUACAUCGGAACGUGCACUGUAGUGGGGGAUAACUAGCCGAAAGCUUAGCUAAUACCGCAUACGACCCGAGGGUGAAAGGGGGGGACCGAAAGUCCUCAUGCUAUAGGAACGGCCGAUGUCUGAGUAGCUAGAUGGUGAGGUAAAGGCUCACCAAGGCGACGAUCAGUAGCUGGUCUGAGAGGACGAUCAGCCACACUGGGACGGCGACACGGCACAGACUCCUACGGGAGGCAGCAGUGGGGAAUUUUGGACAAUGGGGGCAACCCUGAUCCAGCAAUGCCGCGUGUGUGAAGAAGGCCUUCGGGUUGUAAAGCACUUUUGUCCGGAAAGAAAUCGCACUUACUAAUAUUAGGUGUGGAUGACGGUACCGGAAGAAUAAGGACCGGCUAACUACGUGCCAGCAGCCGCCGUAAAAC